GUCAGAAUUUCCGGGGGCGGAGCGAGCCCAACGGGUAAGAAGCCGUUAUGUGAAGGGGCAGACGGCAAGCUGAGGUACAACAGGAAGAACUGGAAAUUCAGAGAAAGAAGCAGCACUUCCAUCUACAAAAGCUGAGUUUACUUUUCCUCCUUCUUUGUUCUUCAAGACUGGACUCCCACCAAGCAGAGCUCCCGACAGGAGACGGGGCAGGACCUGGACGAUGAGGGCCUCCGCGCUCCCUCCGUGAAAGACAGGAAGGUGCCCCGCACUGGCAACAGAGUCCAGCGCUGGCUCAGGGAUAAAAACGGCUCAGCCACAGAGAGGAAUGAGACCCGCGUGCUCUGGACCAACCAGGCUGACCUGCUGGAGAUGCCAAUACCACCUGGUGCCCGCCUUCGUAGGCAGAGACCUCAGCCACAUCUCCACAUUCCUAGAUAUGGGGGCAUUCCCUCUACUUCGGAUGAGCUCGGCGGAGGCCUGGAGCAGCGGAACAUGGCCAUCUCCUCCAUCCUGGGCACAUGGCUGGACCAAUAUCGCCAGGAUUUUUUCCAGCCCCCAGACUUUCCCUGCCUGAACGUGCUGCUCAAGUACAUGGGCCUCCAUAUGCCAGGCUCGGACCUGGAACGCCGUGCCCAGCGUCUGCUGUCACAGCUGCAAAGCCUGGAGCCCCCGGAGCCAGAGGCUGGGGGUGAGGAGGGCCGGGGGUGCCUGGCGAGGGCCCGUGGAGGGGACCGGGCGGGCCACGCAGAGCAAGCCUCCAUAGAGUGCGGUUGGGCCGGGAGCAGUGCAUAGUCCCAGAUCCCUGUCCGCAUGGCCUGCUGUCCGGGGAGACCUCCCAGGGAUCGGAUCCUGGACUCAGACAGCACUGAGCGGGGCGAAAAGUUUCCUUCACUUAGGAGGGACGUGGGAAGCCCAUCAGGCCGACGAUACUUUCUCUUCUUGGAGCUAUAGCACCAGCCCCGGAGCGAGAUCCGGAAGGAGCGCAAGAACUGCGCCCAGCUCCCGCUGUGGCCCCUGCUGUCGCCUCAGAGCCCCCGCGGGCCGAGCCCGUCCCUGCUGCGGGGGCUCAGCCACUAGGGAGAGCAGGGGCUCAGGUGCUAGUCAGAGCGCUCGUUCACGCUCCUCCGCUGGAAGAGCCACCCGCACCGAUGCCCGACGCGGAGGUCGAGCAGGGUCCAGGCCCUGGUCCUGGGGUCGCCGCCGGGCCCGAGCAGCCCCCUGCCCCAGUGGAGCAACCAGCCCCGGCCCCGAGCAGCAGCUCGUGCUGGCUACAGCCCCGAAGGACGGCUUCCCCUCCCCUGGCAUUGCAUUCUUUGUAGUGUUUCUGGUCUGUAUGCACCUGUAUAAUGGCUUCCUGUACUUUGUUCGUUAAAUAAAGUAGAA